CUGCUAUGAUGACUACUUAGGACACCUUUGGAUAUAUCAUGAAAAGAAUUAAGCAUUUUCUGAGCAGU